CCCGGAAGCUAUAGGCUCGCUCAGUUGAUGAGGCUCACGUCUGCAGGGAAACCCUGCUUCUGUUGAUGCUUCAGUAGCCUUAAUUGUCUUCGCCAUUCAAGGUAGUUUGUGUUACUGUGGCUCUAUAAGAUCAAGAAGUAAAUACGAACCAACAGAAGUGACAACCUCGGGAAAACGUUAUUACUUGGAAAUAGAGCCAAAAAUACCUUUGCCUGACUCCUGAGAUUAGAUCUGAAGGGACAAUGUUUUGAUAAGAAAAAUGGCAAGAUGCAGAGAGACAGAGAGAAGGUACAAAGAAAGAAAGCCACCCAGAAUAGAGUGGCAAAGGAGGUUGAAGAAGUGAGAUUCAAAAAUAAUUUUCUUUUCCAUACUGAUAUAUAGCUACUGAUAUAGGGUAGCUAAGAAAACUUACAGAGAUUUCAAGGAAAACACCAUCUCUGGGAAAGUUUUUCUUUGAUCAUUUGACCGCUUUUGAAUAAAAAUCCCCGGACACCAGCAACUCAAAAGUUCAGAAGAUCAAAACCUGACAGGGAUCAAAAUUUCAAUCGAUACUCAAAGAAAAGUUUACAGAUAGGGGACUGGGUCAAAACAAAGAAUACAAAAUGUGCAGUCACUAGCUUAAGACUCUGGCCUUACACUCUUAACUACCAGGAGGUUUGUUGCCUGUUGAGAGUCCUUGAUGGGGACAGGACAGACUCUGUUCUGUUUCCUGUUACCAGGCUCAUAAAAACCGGACUGGGUAUACAUUCCUAAUACCCACUUCACUUAGCACCUGAAGUCAGUACAGGUCAGCUAUGCUACCUCCUUAGAAGAGACUUUUCUACGUGCCCAAGAUCAUAUAUUUUACUGUUUGACUUGGAGGAAAGGUGUUAUGCCUAUGGUGUGAAGUCAGAAGACUGAGUGAGGUGACACAUGCCACUGCAGUUAAAAUACGUGCUGAAGACAAAUCCUCUUCCUGUUUAUCAUACCUCUCUGAACUGUUUAUUGGAUUUCAGAACACAGCUCUCUCCACCCCAACCCAGUAAAGAGACCUGCAGCAGGUGAGUUAGAACCUCAAAUGAGAAAGCCGAAGAGUCAACUGAAAGACCAGGAAAUACUUGAUUGCUAGCAUGCAUCUCCCUAAAUUGGAAUACAGCCACAAACCCUCGGGGCGAAAUCCCCAACCCCCACAGCAGCAGCCGGACAGCAUCUGGGUUUCUUCAUUUUAAUGCUUCAACAUUUCUGCGGUGGGCACUGGGAUGACGUAUACCUUCAGAAACAAACAGCUCAUCCUCAGUGUGCUGGUGUGCAUAGCACCCUCCAGCGUGAUGAAAUCGAGCCAGUAGAGCUGAACUUCAGACCAGCACCAGCUUGAUUGAUUUGUGUAUGUUGGGCAGGCUUUUGUGCCACCUGUUUUUGUUUUUGUAUUUAUUCUAUGUGCAGCAAGAAGCCAAAGGGAAGAAAAGGAGCAUAGAGUAUUUCUUCCCUUUAUUCUUUCCUUGGAGUUUUCCAGCUUCUCUCCAUCACCAAAGGAGGCUGCUCUUCUCAGGGCGAUCACUCUCCAUGAGUCUUCCUCCUGGCUGCCCUCUUCUUCUUGUCUUAACAUGCAGCUGGGAUCCUCUCUUGUUCCCUGACAAUUAUGACUACUCUGAAACUGUGAAGCAGGAUCCAUAAAUGUGAAAACUCUGAAUAGCUGUAAACAGUUCCCAAGCUGGAACUGCUUGGGUCGGAAUUAAUAAACGACAAGGUUGGAGGAGGCCGAUGUGUUCCGAUUUGUUAUCUUUUUGUUGCCUCUGUGUAUAUGACUAAGGAAUCCAUCGAAGUUCUCAGUCCAGACAUCUAAUGAGCGUGUUUUAAUAACUCUUCUCC
ensembl:lncRNA LOC120096262 uncharacterized LOC120096262